CUGACAUCUCUGUGUAAUCAGAUGCUCUUGUUUCCUUCUUGUCAAAGAGCCAGAAAGGUGGCUGGUUUAAGGUGUCUGGCUACCAAAAGCACGAAUGAUGACUCCUGGGGUUUGCACGCGAAUGUGUUUAGGGGAGAAGCAUCUCUAAUUUAGUAUGAGCAGUCAGAAGACAGAGGCAUCAUAUUUUUGCUGGUGAGGUAAUUUUAAGAAUGAAAUGGACACACAACCCCGAUGAAACAGGAGACUGGAAACUUCUUACGCCUAAGUUGGACUCAAGUAGGAGCUGCAAAGUAAGCUGUGCUGGUCCACUCUGAACUGCACAGCAAUCACAUUGCCAACAUGAAUGAGAACGGUUGCUUCACAGAUGAAUGUGGAAGGGAGGGGAGGCAUGAAGGGCAGUCAUUCCAAGUCACUUGGCAAGCCUUUGGCAACAAAAGUGCUUUAAGUCACGAAACACUCAACUUUGUACAUCUUCACUGAUUCCUGGUGUUGAUUUUUCAGUUGUUUGUCUGUAGUUCAGGUUAUGGGAGCUGCCCUUCCUCACGUUUGCCUUG